rnacentral:rRNA from 1 species
GACGAACGCUGGCGGUGUGCUUAACACAUGCAAGUCGAACGGUAAGGCCCUUUCGGGGGUACACGAGUGGCGAACGGGUGAGUAACACGUGAGUAACCUGCCCUCAUCUCUGGGAUAACAGUCGGAAACGGUUGCUAAUACUGGAUAUGAGCUUGCAAGGCAUCUUGUGGGUUGGAAAGAUUUUUUUUGGUUGUGGAUGGACUCGCGGCCUAUCAGCUUGUUGGUGGGGUAGUGGCUCACCAAGGCUUCGACGGGGAGCCGGCCUGAGAGGGCGACCGGCCACAUAGGGACUGUGAGACGGCCCAAAGUCCGACGGGGGGCAGCAGUGGGGAAUAUUGCACAAUGGACGGAAGUCUGAUGCAGCAACGCCGCGUGCGGGAUAACAGCCUUCGGGUUGUAAACCGCUUUCAAUUGUGACGCAGCGUUUUUGUGACGGUAGCAGGAGAAGAAGCACCGGCUAACUACGUG